UACGGGGGGGGCAAGCGUUGUUCGGAAUUACUGGGCGUAAAGGGCGCGUAGGCGGUCCGCUAAGUUGGAUGUGAAAACUCUGGGCUUAACCCAGAGCCUGCAUUCAAAACUGACGGGCUGGAGUUCUGGAGGGGAUAGCGGAAUUCCUGGUGUAGCGGUGAAAUGCGAAGAUAUCAGGAGGAACACCGGUGGCGAAGGCGGCAUCCUGGACCGGCAUUGACGCUGAGGCGCGAAAGCCAGGGGAGCAAACGGG
rnacentral:rRNA from 1 species